rnacentral:rRNA from 1 species
CCCUUAGAUGUUCUGGGCCGCACGCGCGCUACACUGACGAAUGCAACGAGCUUAUAACCUUGGCCGAAAGGUCUGGGUAAUCUCCAAAUUUCGUCGUGAUGGGGAUAGAUUAUUGCAAUUAUUAAUCUUCAACGAGGAAUGCCUAGUAAGCGCAAGUCAUCAGCUUGCGUUGAUUACGUCCCUGCCCUUUGUACACACCGCCCGUCGCUCCUACCGAUUGAAUGGUCCGGUGAAGCGUUCGGACCGUGGCCUUUGGACGGUUCGCCGUCUGUAGGCUGCGGGAAGUUCGUUAAACCUUAUCAUUUAGAGGAAGGAGAAGUCGUAACA